GGUUAGGUACUGCGGAGGACAUUA
rnacentral:rRNA from 1 species